AAGAAGAAUUAAUUCUUAAUUCUUAAUUCUUAAGAAAAUAAUAAACUCUUCUUAAUUCAUUGAUGAAGCCAUGAAGGUAUCUAAAAUAUUUAUUUGUAUAUCUUAAAUCGUGCCGACGACCGAUGUCCAAAACCAUCACUCUCUAUGAAUGAUGAAUCUAUGAUAUCUACGGAAUGUUACGUCAUUACGAUUUAAAAAUAAUUUACGGCACUUUUAGGGCCGAUUUCACCAACACUGUUGAUCGCGGUUAACUCAACAUAAUUUUUCUAAAUGGAAUAUUUUUCUACAACUAAUUUAGGUCCCAUCAUAUUAUGUACAAGUACUGUUGACUGUCUCUAUUUAACAAUGUUGAAACCUCACAACCACUAGCUGUACGGGGAGCGUACAACGUACAUUCCAUAUGUCUAUUGAUAUUUGAUUUAUUAUUAAUAAUCGCUAUAAUCAAUAAAUACAUCUAUUAGGAUCUGAAUAAAAUAUUAUCAUUCAAGUGGAAAAGUGUAAAAGGACGUCAAACACAAUUACACAAGUGUGUUGUCAUAAAUGUUUGACAAAAUAUCAAAUUAAUGUUCAGGUCAAUGUUAAAAUGUCGACCGUUACGUUGAACGUGUUAAAAAUCAGUGAGUAUACUAUUUUAAUUAUUAGCGAUUUGAAUUUUUCGUACUAAUCUUCAAUGGGUUAGCUAAUAAAUUUGAUUUAUUUAUUGAGAUGAUAUUUGGCCAAGUAUGAACAACCGUGAACAGAUAUUUUGUUUCAGAUAAAGUACAUUCUAUCGCUGUCAUUCAUUGUAUGGCUUAUAAUAGUACAUUGCUCUUAUUGUAUUAACAUACACGGACAAGGAUGGCACUAGAUCUUUUCCAAACUCGCUUUGUUUAAUUUCUUCCUUAUUAUUAUUCUAUACUUUUAGGCCUAACAUUUAUAAUACCUACGUAUUAUUAUAGGGUAUCAGAACACGUAGCAAUAUUGUGGUAUACUCUGAGAGUCCCAAUAAAUACCAACAUCACAUUCAGAAUGGCCCAGCAAUUACGGAAGUAACAACUAUAGCCGUAACCUCACAUAUACUAGUAAAUGGGGACUAAUUUUUCACGCACUUUAUGAUCUGGAAAAAUAAGGAAAUAAACCGUGUUUUUUUAACAACACUACUAAGUUAGCAAAUAGAACAAGCUGGGUAAUUUCAGAAACAGUACAACAGACACAAAGCAGAAAUCAAAGAAAAACCCAUUUCGCAGCGCCAAUCAAUAAGUACACAAGUCAUAAAACAAAGAUAACUAACACAGUGAAAAUAAGGAAUUGAGGAGAUAAAAACAAUGUUAUUUUACGAUUUUGCUAAAAAUCCACUCGAUUUUCUUCUCUUCAAAAUUUAAUUUUAUCUCAUAAUAUUAUUACUUUUUAAAACAUAUAACCAUAUAUGAUUAAAAAAAAAAACCUUAAUUUAUAGCAUCAUAAUUUUUAAAAUUCUCAAUGUCAAUUUUGAAUUGUAAAUAACUCAUUCAACUUUCAUCAUAAACAAUUAACACCAUUUCCAUUAGUUUUAGAAUUUAAUAUUACUUUAAAAUAAUAUUACUUAAUACAACAUACAACAAUAUAAGAUUUAAAAAAAAUUAAAAACCUUAUUUCAUAGGAGUGUUCGAGCUGGAUGAUCACCCAAGGCAAGAAUUAAUUGAUGUAAAAAAUUGGUGAAAUCACAUCAAAAAUACAUUGUCAAACUACAUGUAUAAAACGGCUAAGUAAAGAAAGAAAACAUAUAUUGAAGUGAUACAAAGAUGUGAUAGCAUAUAUUAAUGCUAAAUACCUAAAUUAAUUUUAAGUACCUACAGUUAUUUUGUUUCAAUAAUUUAUUUACUUGACAAGUAAUUAUUUUGAGUAGAAAUGUCCAUUUUAAUAUAUUAAAAUUAGUAUGAACUUCUAAUACUUUUUAAUAAUUUUGUUUGCGUGAUUUCAUAUGCCAAUUCAUAUUAUAAAGUAUAUAAUUUCCGGCCAACCAAGUGAAUAGAUUAUUGAUCAUGUUAUAUCAUUAAUAUAAUAUAUUUAUAUUUGGACGAAAAUCUAAUAUACUGAUAAAUUGAUAAUAACCAAUAAAUAUUAUUAUUUUAAAUAAAAACUGACAUUAAAAAUAAACUAAAUAUAAAACAAUUAUUUUCUAAGAUGUUUGAGACAGUACCUACGAGUAUUUCAAAAAGUUUCUCAUUGCCAUUCACCAGUCAAAAUCAUGAACAACGUAUGAGCAUCUGUGAAUGGUUGUCGUGAAGUACAUGUAAAACAAAAAAAAUGGAUAUCAGAGCACUUAGCAAUAGCGUUCUAUAUUCAAAGUGUCCGGAUAAAUACAAACAACACUUACAGAGAGUGCAAGCAACAACAGCCAUAACCGCACAUAUUAUGCUGUCAAAUGUGGAGUAAUUUUUCCUACGCAGGUAAUGCUUUCAAAUGAUAAGGAAUGGCAAAAUUGAAUAAACAAUAAGGUACUAGACUGUUUUUAAUUUAACAAAAAUACUAAGUUUAGAUAGUAACAAGAAACAGCUUGGUAAUUCCAUGACAAUCGCAACGAUAGCAAAGAAAAAAUUGAGGACAUAACCCAUCGACAAGUACACAAUCCAUAGAUCAAAAAAAACCAACACAGUGAAAAAUAGCAUCGAGGCGAUAAAAAAAAAUAUAAAUUAAAUUCUUUCAUACAUUACCCUAAUCUGCGUCCGUGCGCGUACUAUUCGCCUAGGGUGUAAGAACUUUAAGUAUAGCUCUACCUAGUUUAUAGUAUAGCUAUAUACAUAAUAUUUCCCUAUUAGAUUUUGAUAAAAAUAAAAAGCCUUUAUUCAUAUGAAAGUAACAAUGGAAAUCAAUAACUUCAAUUUAGUUUUGUUAAUAACUGAUUCAAUUUUCAUCUCAUACUACUGAAACUUAAUUAUACAGUAAAAAUGAGUUAGAUAUAAAUAUAUCUCACCCGGAAUUUUCUAGAAAAAAAUCUACAAAGAUUUCCUUACAUCUGCAAGACACUAAAACAUUGUUUACUUAUUAUAAUAAUUAUAACUUAAACGUCUUAAACUUUACUCAAUAUAUUUGAUAAACAUAGUUCUAUUUACUAUAAUACUUAAUCUCCUUUACAUUUAAAUAAAUGCACCAAACAGUUGUAAAAUCAUUCAUAUAAAUUUAACACAUUACUGUGCAUACUGUUCGCUCGAUGAUUAACAUAGUUAUGCUCUUUUGGUGUGCGGCCGGCCUUAGUAUAGAAUUUCUAAACUAUUUUUAAUAUUAGAAAACUUUGUACUAUUCAAUUAUCUAGUUUUAAAUUUCUAAGAAAUAAAUAUUAUUAAUAAUAAA